rnacentral:rRNA from 1 species
GACGCCAGUCUGCACGGAGCCAUCCUUGAAAUACCACCCUUUAACGUUUGAUGUUCUAACCCGGGUCCAUAAUCUGGAUCGGGGACCGUGUCUGGUGGGUAGUUUGACUGGGGCGGUCUCCUCCCAAAGAGUAACGGAGGAGCACGAAGGUUGGCUAAGCAUGGUCGGACAUCAUGCGGUUAGUGCAAAGGCAUAAGCCAGCUUGACUGCGAGAGUGACGGCUCGAGCAGGUACGAAAGUAGGUCUUAGUGAUCCGGUGGUUCUGAAUGGAAGGGCCAUCGCUCAACGGAUAAAAGGUACUCCGGGGAUAACAGGCUGAUACCGCCCAAGAGUUCAUAUCGACGGCGGUGUUUGGCACCUCGAUGUCGGCUCAUCACAUCCUGGGGCUGAAGUAGGUCCCAAGGGUAUGGCUGUUCGCCAUUUAAAGUGGUACGCGAGCUGGGUUUAGAACGUCGUGAGACAGUUCGGUCCCUAUCUGCCGUGGGCGCUGGAAGAUUGAGAGGGGUUGCUCCUAGUACGAGAGGACCGGAGUGAACGCACCACUGGUGUACGGGUUGUGAUGCCAAUUGCAUUGCCCGGUAGCUAAGUGCGGAAGAGAUAACCGCUGAAAGCAUCUAAGCGGGAAACUUGCCUCGAGAUGAGUCUUCCCUGACCCUUUAAGGGUCCUGAAGGAACGUUUGAGACUAAGACGUUGAUAGGCUGGGUGUGUAAGCGCAGCGAUGCGUUGAGCUGACCAGUACUAAUGAACCGUGAGGCUUAACCUGACAACACCGAAGGUGUUU